ACUUGGAGCUCUCGACUGAGAUUGUU
rnacentral:sRNA from 1 species